UUGAUCCUGGCUCAGAUUGAACGCUGGCGGCAGGCCUAACACAUGCAAGUCGAGCGGAUGAGUGGAGCUUGCUCCAUGAUUCAGCGGCGGACGGGUGAGUAAUGCCUAGGAAUCUGCCUGGUAGUGGGGGACAACGUUUCGAAAGGAACGCUAAUACCGCAUACGUCCUACGGGAGAAAGUGGGGGAUCUUCGGACCUCACGCUAUCAGAUGAGCCUAGGUCGGAUUAGCUAGUUGGUGAGGUAAAGGCUCACCAAGGCGACGAUCCGUAACUGGUCUGAGAGGAUGAUCAGUCACACUGGAACUGAGACACGGUCCAGACUCCUACGGGAGGCAGCAGUGGGGAAUAUUGGACAAUGGGCGAAAGCCUGAUCCAGCCAUGCCGCGUGUGUGAAGAAGGUCUUCGGAUUGUAAAGCACUUUAAGUUGGGAGGAAGGGCAGU
rnacentral:rRNA from 2 species